rnacentral:rRNA from 1 species
UACGUAGGGUGCAAGCGUUGUCCGGAAUUAUUGGGCGUAAAGAGCUCGUAGGCGGUCUGUCGCGUCGGCUGUGAAAACUCGGGGCUCAACCCCGAGCCUGCAGUCGAUACGGGCAGACUAGAGUGCGGUAGGGGAGACUGGAAUUCCUGGUGUAGCGGUGAAAUGCGCAGAUAUCAGGAGGAACACCGGUGGCGAAGGCGGGUCUCUGGGCAGUGGCUGACGCUGAGGCGCGACAGCGUGGGGAGCAAACAGG